GUACAUCUGCAGAUUACAGGUACAUCAUGCACACAUGUAGACGACGGAGGUGGGCAUGUAGAUACAGGUACAUCUGCAGAUUACAGGUACAUGAUGCACACAUGCAGACGACGGAGGUGGGCAUGUAGAUGCAGGUACAUCUGCAGAUUACAGGUACAUCAUGCACACAUGUAGACGACGGAGGUGGGCAUGAACGAACAGGUACAUUGUGUUACUGUGUGGACACUAUAUGCUUGUAGAUGCAGCUUGGAAUAGGUUAGUGAGAAUCUCAGACAAGAAUGAGUGUUUGUCUGAGUUAUAUAAUAUAAUGUCUGCAGAUGGUUAGGUUAUUUUAAUGUCACUUCACUGAUUUUGUUUCAUAAAUGAUUCCUGGACAUAUUUAAAUAUUUCUAAUUACACAAAACAAAGCCCUCAAAUGUGAGAUUUUAAAGCUGAAAUGUAAUAUGUAAUAGUGAAAUAAGCACAUUCUGAUAUCUGUAAGAAUUCAGAAGAAUUUAUCUCAUGUACAGAAUAUAAUUUGUAUGUCAGUGUAUGAAGGUACGUCUUCAUGACAGUUUGUCAGUUCAAUAAUGUUCAAAACAAAUGACAUACAGUUCAUGUAGCAGUAUUUUUCAAACAGUUUGAAAUUUUAUGUUCAUAAACUUAAAAUGUUGAAAGUUUUCUUGUUUAUCAAAUUUUACCCUAGCCUAAAAGUUGAUCUAUAAUGAGAGUGAUAGGAGCGAUAUGUAAAUAUUAUUCUUGAAGGUGGUUCCAGUGUUUAUAACAAAUGAAAAUACUCAGUGUUGCUGCGAGGAAAUUGUAUUUAGUUGACAUGUUUGUUUAGCAAGCUUGCUUGUGUUUAAUGUGAUAGUCAUUCACACAGACCUCCCAGCAGGGCUGAAGACCAUGAUGCCUGGAGAAUAAGGAGUGUGGUCUCUGUCUGUCUUGCACAAGCAGACAAGACGACGACACGACGACGACGCAUACAUCCACACCACACACACACACACACACACACACCCAUACCGAAGGCCCGGGUUCGAUUCCCAACAUGGGUGCAAAAUAUGAAGCCCAUAUCUGGUGUCCCCUGCCAUCAAAUUGCUGGAAUAUUGCAAAAAGUGGCAUAAAACCCAACUCACUCACUUCUGGGAGGUCUGUACAAAGUCUGGCCUGUGCCAAAAGUCAUGUAAUAUUGUAUGAGAGGAUAUCAGGUGAAGUGUUUGAAGAUUUAAAGCAUUUGUGAUAUCAUACAUUCCAUUCACUGGUUGUUUUCCAUACUUCAGAUUAAAUCUGUACAUACAUUGUGUGUAGUUGUCAUGGAAACCGGACAAGAUGGUGCAUCCUCGGCCAAACUUACACAAUAAUCAAGCAAUAGUGUAACAGUGGAUUUUAUAAGAUGGUGUUUUUAACAAAAUCGUUCUAACACAAUACAAUAACUUUUGUGUGGCUGUAUUCAGGAUUUUGGAAACAUGAAUGAUUAAAUAUCAUGUUUACUCACUGAUUUGUAAGUUACAGAAUGUUACUAUGCAAACAUUUUCAAUGAGUACCUGGACUUGUUGUGAGAUUUGCAUAGAUCCUGUAGUACAUGGUAUGUGUUCUUAUAAGUAUUGUCAGGUGAUCUUCACUGGAAGUUCAUAUCGGUGUCAAAGAGACAGGAAUGUGGAACUCUUGUCUAAACCAGCACGCUGGUAACAAGAGGACAACACAGCAUGAAGUCUGCACCUAUGCAGAAUGCAAUAUUAAUAUAAUUUUCCUAGAAAUUUUCAUAAUUUUCCAAAAUUGGGACCAACCAUUAGUUAUUUUGGUAAAACUUUUAAUAGAAACCGGAUUCUUUUGUCAUUCACUGUUUCAAGACAUAAAUUACUCUCUCAUAAAUGAGGAAAUGUACAAUUUGAAAAUUUACGAACAUUUUCUUUCAGGGCAAUUAGCAUGUUAAUAUUGCUAUUACAAAACAAAGUAAAAAUAUUUUUUUGUCUAUUUUCCACAGCGUAAUAAGCUACAAAACCUCUAGAAAGAUAUUUUCAGUUCAAACAAAUGAUUGUUCUGACGGAAUGCACGGUCAAGAGAAGCAGUUUCUAACACCAACUGUCUAUACUGGGACACAGUUCCAUGACAGUCGUAACACUGUUGAUGUAUAGUUGAGGGAAUGUGUCCCGAGAGACCCAGGUUUAGGAGUACAUGUAAUGAAUGUCGUUGUAUUGUCAGGGAUAUGUAGGGAGGCUGUAGUAUGGAUGGUUGCUGUGGUGCAUCACUGUUGCAAAUGACCUACACUUGAGAUGUGCUUUCAAGUUCCAUGCAGAUGUAGGAGAUAAUUUCUAGCUAUUUUUCUAUGCCAUAAACUGACACUCUGCAUGUGCAGAAUAUGUGUUGUACUGGAAUAAAAUAUAUUAAGAGAG
rnacentral:lncRNA from 1 species